UUGAGCACCUGGUGAAAGCAGCUGGGAGCACAGGUGAAGGCAAUUCAGCUGCGUGACUGGAAGGAGUGGAGCCUGGCUGCAUCUUCCUUAGACCUCAUAUAAGGGCUGACUGCCUCUGGGGAAAGAUCUCUGGUUGGAGAUCCCUCCUUGGUGGAGCUUUCCCCUGCAAACCUGGAAUCUUCUGGUACAGAGACCCUUGAAGUGCUUGGUGGUGUACUGAGGAAAGUUCUUGGAUCCCAAAGCAAGAAGCAAAGCCACAUGGUGUGUGGGAUGUACUCCCUCUGUCGUUCCAGUGGUGUUGCUCCCAGGAGCCUGAUGUGAUAGAGACCCUCCUUGUCUGUGGGGUUGUCCUUUCUACCAGCGUGGGUGUUAGAGCAGUGCAAGUGCAUAUACAUGUUGCUGAUGACUGGCGUCAGAUGUGAACCCUUAUGGCUAAGUGUGCAAUCGCAGCAAUUGAGUGGGUUCUGC
rnacentral:lncRNA from 1 species